GGAUAUCUAAGCAAGGCGAGCCAGGUAGAAUACCCGCUAAGUAAGGAGAUCAAUAGACAUCCAAGCUGGAAUCACCUGAAUUUGGCUUUGGGCGACUUCAAACGGGCGACUUAAACAAACCUUGAUGGGGAGUGAUGAAUCUUCUACAUGAACAGGCUUCAACGAAUUCUGCGCAUAACCCCCAAGCGACGGCCACCAAUUCUCUAUCAUCUUGCAGCCAUUUGUUCUUUUGGUUCCACACCUUCCAUAGAAGCACCAAGAGCCUGGAGAGUCCAUCCAUGUCCAUCUGAGAAGCUGCCUAUUUUAGACAAUCCUUAUAAGAGUUCCCUUGUCAAUCAAUGAUUAAAGAUUUAAGCCCUGA